rnacentral:rRNA from 1 species
CCUACGGGAGGCAGCAGUGAGGAAUAUUGGUCAAUGGACGAGAGUCUGAACCAGCCAAGUAGCGUGAAGGAUGACUGCCCUAUGGGUUGUAAACUUCUUUUAUAUGGGAAUAAAAUGUUCCACGUGUGGGAUUUUGUAUGUACCAUAUGAAUAAGGAUCGGCUAACUCCGUGCCAGCAGCCGCGGUAAUACGGAGGAUCCGAGCGUUAUCCGGAUUUAUUGGGUGUAAAGGGAGCGUAGGUGGAUUGUUAAGUCAGUUGUGAAAGUUUGCGGCUCAACCGUAAAAUUGCAGUUGAAACUGGCAGUCUGGAGUACAGUAGAGGUGGGCGGAAUUCGUGGUGUAGCGGUGAAAUGCUUAGAUAUCACGAAGAACUCCGAUUGCGAAGGCAGCUCACUGGACUGCAACUGACACUGAGGCUCGAAAGUGUGGGUAUCAAACAGGAUUAGAUACCCCAGUAGUC